rnacentral:rRNA from 1 species
UACGGGGGGGGCAAGCGUUGUUCGGAAUUACUGGGCGUAAAGGGCUCGUAGGCGGCCAACUAAGUCAGACGUGAAAUCCCUCGGCUUAACCGGGGAACUGCGUCUGAUACUGGAUGGCUGGAGUUUGGGAGAGGGAUGCGGAAUUCCAGGUGUAGCGGUGAAAUGCGUAGAUAUCUGGAGGAACACCGAUGGCGAAGGCAGCCUCCUGGGCCAACACUGACGCUCAUGCACGAAAGCGUGGGGAGCAAACAGG